AGAGUUUGAUCCUGGCUCAGGACGAACGCUGGCGGCGUGCUUAACACAUGCAAGUCGAGCGAUGAAGCUUCCUUCGGGAAGUGGAUUAGCGGCGGACGGGUGAGUAACACGUGGGUAACCUGCCUCAAAGUGGGGGAUAGCCUUCCGAAAGGAAGAUUAAUACCGCAUAAUAUAAGAGAAUCGCAUGAUUUUCUUAUCAAAGAUUUAUUGCUUUGAGAUGGACCCGCGGCGCAUUAGCUAGUUGGUGAGGUAACGGCUUACCAAGGCAACGAUGCGUAGCCGACCUGAGAGGGUGAUCGGCCACAUUGGAACUGAGACACGGUCCAGACUCCUACGGGAGGCAGCAGUGGGGAAUAUUGCGCAAUGGGGGAAACCCUGACGCAGCAACGCCGCGUGGGUGAUGAAGGUCUUCGGAUUGUAAAGCCCUGUUUUCUAGGACGAUAAUGACGGUACUAGAGGAGGAAGCCACGGCUAACUACGUGCCAGCAGCCGCGGUAAUACGUAGGUGGCGAGCGUUGUCCGGAUUUACUGGGCGUAAAGGGUGCGUAGGCGGAUGUUUAAGUGGGAUGUGAAAUCCCCGGGCUUAACCUGGGGGCUGCAUUCCAAACUGGAUAUCUAGAGUGCAGGAGAGGAAAGCGGAAUUCCUAGUGUAGCGGUGAAAUGCGUAGAGAUUAGGAAGAACACCAGUGGCGAAGGCGGCUUUCUGGACUGUAACUGACGCUGAGGCACGAAAGCGUGGGUAGCAAACAGGAUUAGAUACCCUGGUAGUCCACGCCGUAAACGAUGGAUACUAGGUGUAGGGGGUAUCAACUCCCCCUGUGCCGCAGUUAACACAAUAAGUAUCCCGCCUGGGGAGUACGGUCGCAAGAUUAAAACUCAAAGGAAUUGACGGGGGCCCGCACAAGCAGCGGAGCAUGUGGUUUAAUUCGAAGCAACGCGAAGAACCUUACCUGGACUUGACAUCCCUUGCAUAGCCUAGAGAUAGGUGAAGCCCUUCGGGGCAAGGAGACAGGUGGUGCAUGGUUGUCGUCAGCUCGUGUCGUGAGAUGUUAGGUUAAGUCCUGCAACGAGCGCAACCCUUGUUAUUAGUUGCUACCAUUAAGUUGAGCACUCUAAUGAGACUGCCUGGGUAACCAGGAGGAAGGUGGGGAUGACGUCAAAUCAUCAUGCCCCUUAUGUCCAGGGCUACACACGUGCUACAAUGGUAGGUACAAUAAGACGCAAGACCGUGAGGUGGAGCAAAACUUAUAAAACCUAUCUCAGUUCGGAUUGUAGGCUGCAACUCGCCUACAUGAAGCUGGAGUUGCUAGUAAUCGCGAAUCAGAAUGUCGCGGUGAAUACGUUCCCGGGCCUUGUACACACCGCCCGUCACACCAUGAGAGCUGGUAACACCCGAAGUCCGUGAGGUAACCGUAAGGAGCCAGCGGCCGAAGGUGGGAUUAGUGAUUGGGGUGAAGUCGUAACAAGGUAGCCGUAGGAGAACCUGCGGCUGGAUCACCU
rnacentral:rRNA from 1 species